rnacentral:rRNA from 1 species
CCGGCACGGGUGAGUAACACGUAUCCAACCUGCCGUCUACUCUUGGGCAGCCUUCUGAAAGGAAGAUUAAUACAAGAUGGCAUCAUGAGUCCACAUGUUCACAUGAUUAAAGGUAUUCCGGUAGACGAUGGGGAUGCGUUCCAUUAGAUAGUAGGCGGGGUAACGGCCCACCUAGUCUUCGAUGGAUAGGGGUUCUGAGGGGAAGGUCCCCCACAUUGGAACUGAGACACGGUCCAA